rnacentral:misc_RNA from 1 species
AAAUCAGCCAAAGCAAGAAGACCCUCCGUCGAACACGGACGUCGUCCCCAUUUUUUCUCGCCCUCGGUGCGUCGUCGUGUGGUCUGUGCCCGUGGUGUGUGGUGAAAAGAUAUCUGUUUUGUUUAUUGCACUUUUUGACCCCGGAAGGCGCUUCGGAGGUCCGGAAAGUGUACGCAGCUGGCGGUGCACACCGGAAGGAACACACUGCGGGUGGAAUCGGGCCGCGCCGGACGUGCCCACGAGUGCCAAGUGCGACGAAAAUUUGAUCAGAAUUUUUCACCUUUUUUUUCCCUGCUCGCGCUGAUUGCUUCGAUUCGCGGAAGAAGAAGACGUCGUCGGUCCUGAAACAAGAAGACGGAAGUGUCAUGCCACCGGGCCCGGAUAGUCGGAGUGGCCACCCGUAGCCGGAUGUGACGACGACAGGCGGUGCUGGUCGAUUCCUGUCGCCCCCCCAGAGGAGGAAGGUUUUUUCGCCUUCUGGGAGCAGCAGCAGCAGCCAUUUCUUUUGGUGGCGGAGCGCGUUUCUCCGCGCGAGAGCAGCCUUCUUUGGUUGCUCGCGUGUGUGUAUGUGUGUGUUUGUGCUGCACUGGUGUGAGUGAGAAGGCGCACACGUCCAGAAUAUCUCACUCUACGAAGAAGAAGAAGUAGCAAACCGUGGAAGAGUGCGCGCCGUGCUGCCGGAAGAUUUUUAUUCUCAAAACCAUCAACGAAAGUGUGUGUGUGUGUGUAUGUUUGUGUGCACACACGGUGUGCGCAAUCCAGAUAGUGUGCGGUGAGGGGGUGGAAGCAAGUGGGGGAGUAGUGACGGUAGUUUACAGCUUUGAGCAGUGAAGGAAAGAAAAAUAACAGUGAAAAAUACAAAAAAAAACAUACACACGGGCACGUCGAAGAGAGUUCCCACCCCGUGAGUGAAUGAGGGUGGUGUUUGUGGGUGUGUUUUGAAGGGAACAACAACAACAACCAGAGUGGAGUGUUUUGGAUAAGCGGAAGUUAAGCCCUACUGGCUGUUGAGGGACGGCGAUAAGGGCAGAUGGUUGGAUUAAGAAGGAACGCCAGAGGUGGCAGAGGACAUCGCGACGAUGAAGCUGUUUGCCACCGCGAUGGACGAUGCUGAGGCGAGGAGCAAUAGAUUGCCAUUAACAAUGCUACCAAUAUCUGGGAAAAGGUUGCCUUGAAGAUUGAAUACUCUACGGACGGAAGAAGGAAGAAGGAACGGUGUAAACAAUUAUUUAUUUUUAAGAGUGUGACAAGAGAACAAAACAAAACGCAAAGCAAAAAGAUGGCAACACCAAACUACAAAGAGCUUAAGCUGCAGUCGCCGGCCGGCGCGGAACCGUUCCUGUACAACUGGCCGUUCUCGAUCGGCGGCGGCCACGACAACGGCAUCGAGCUGAUCGAGAACGUGCGGUGGGUGUGCGAGGACAUGCCGGAGAUCAAGUCCGCCAUCGAGGAGAUCAACCUGAACGAGCUCGACACGGGGGACUUUGACGCGAUGAAGAACCUGUGCGAUCGGUUCAACAAGGCCAUCGACAGUGUGGCGGCGCUGGAAAAGGGUACCUCGCUUUCGAGUCAGCGGUUUACGUAUCCCUCGCGGGGUCUUCUGAGGCACAUCAUUCAACAGGUGUACAACCAGGCGGUUGUAGAACCGGAAAAGUUAAACCAGUACGAACCGUUUUCACCUGAAGUGUACGGCGAAACGUCGUUCGACUUGAUCUGCCAGAUGAUCGAUCAAAUUAAGAUAACCUCGGACGAUGUGUUUGUGGAUCUGGGCUCGGGUGUGGGGCAGGUCGUCCUGCAAAUGGCCGCCUCAACGCCGGUAAAGGUGUGCUACGGAAUCGAGAAGGCGGACGUUCCGUCUCGGUACGCCGAAGGAAUGAACGCCACGUUCAAGAUGUGGAUGCAUUGGUUUGGGAAAAAGUACAGCGACUACGAGCUGAUCAAGGGUGACUUUCUGGCCGAUGAACAUCGGGAGAAAAUAACCGCUGCGACGAUCGUGUUUGUGAACAACUUUGCGUUUGGACCGAACGUCGAUCAUCAGCUGAAGGAGCGAUUCGCGGAUUUGCGCGAUGGCGCAAGGAUAGUGUCGUCGAAAAGUUUUUGUCCGUUGAAUUUUCGAAUAACUGAUCGAAAUCUAAGUGACAUCGGGACGAUCAUGCACGUUAGCGAAAUGUCCCCACUGCGCGGGUCCGUGUCUUGGACCGGAAAACCCGUAUCGUACUAUUUGCACAUAAUCGAUCGCACCAAACUGGAGCGGUACUUCCAGCGAUUGAAAACAAAGGGAGGUGACAACGAGGGACCCACCAGCAGUACAACUACUCGAGCGUCCCGCUCGAAGAAGGACACGGUCCCGAAACAGCCAGUCAACAAUGACGAAAGCACGUCGGAUAGCGAUGCGGACGAUCCCGGACCUACGCAAGCUCCUCCACCUCCGCCCAGGAAACCGUGGUCGGGUUGGUGUAGUGGCAAAGAAAAGAGCAGCCAAUCCGAGGAGGAAAAUAACAACUCUCCGGUGCUCCGGAACGGCCGCAUUCCGGUGGCAACGAAGAAGCGAAGGAAAAUCACCCGGACGAAAACUGCCAAGAAAGAACCGGUGGCGCCAAAGGACAUGGUUGAUAUCAUCAUACCACAAAUGCCCAUUGAUGCACAAGGCGUUGGCGCGAAGAAACGUGGCCGCGGAGUCAAGAAGGGACGACAGCGGCGGGCACUCAAGAUCAACGGUCUCGAUUUGCUGCACAGCGAAACCCUGCUAAGUACCUCAGAUCAAGCAAUCGGCAAGCGGCUUCCACCGGCGCCGGGCUGCGUCGAUCAGCUGCUCACUUCGCUAGCUGGAGACAUGCAGCACACCGAGCUGGACAUUCCGGAAGCACCCUCGGAAACACCGUACGCAUUACAGAUUCUACUGGACCUGUUCAAAACUCAGUUUAUGAAAGCAAUCGAAUCCUUCCGAAAACCUUCGUACAAGGAUAACGUUCAGCAGCAGAUCGAACGCGAAAAGGAACGCAACCAACGGCUGCUGAAUCGCGCCGGUCAGCUGGAAAAGCAAAUCAAAGUCCUCAUCGAUGACAGCGUGGCCCUGCUAAAGGCACGCAUGAACGAACUGGGCAUUAGCACAACCAGUCAGAACGAUCUGCUCUGCAAAGCGAAGGAAAUCGUCGGACGACACAAAGAACUCCAGGUGAUGGCAGCAAAACUGCAAAGCCAAGUCACCACCAUCGAGCAGGAGCAGAAACGGAUAGUGAUGCAACACAUGCACCGAAUCGCCGACAAGUACAUCAAGACCGAAGAGGUCGAGCUAACACCCAAGACUUCCCAGGAAAUGGUGCUAAAGGAGAUCGCCAACACGCUCUCCCAAAGAAAGAAACUGUGCGCGCAAGUUUCGUCGCUCGAAAACGAACUCAACAUAAUCGACAAACUUGCCGAAGAGCGCAAGGCCAACCCGGUUCUAACCGUUACGACAGUCGCUCAGCAGAAGGAACCCUCCCAACACCAACCCCAACCGCAACAACAACAGCAGCAGCAGCAAUACCACCAAUCUCGCGUCGAUCAGCAGCAUCACCACGCGAGAGAACAUCCGGCGACGGUACACUCGUCGCAACCGGCCGCCGCUCACGUGACGUCGCAUCCACCGUCGAAGCACAGUUCCGGGUCGUCGCGGUCACAGCGCAAGUCGCGCGAAAACCGAACCCGCUCGCAAGAGUGGCCGGAAAUUCCCGAUAUCGGAAAGAUCGAGGAAAACAAUCCGGAGAUAUUGGCGCAAAAGAUUCUGGAAACUGGCCGUCAGAUUGAGGCUGGCAAGUUGCGGAAUCAAAAGGAGCGAGAAACGAAGAAUCAUCACAUGCAGCAGCAACAGCAUGCGUCGAUUCCUCCGCAGCAGUCUCAGAUCCAUCACCCGGGCGAUGCUGCGCUCAUGCCGGCCCCACCAACCCUGAACAAAUCCCAUCACCGUAACAGUAACAGCAGCAACAACAACGCAAGCGCAAACAAUACUGCCAACCUAGCGAAAACUUACGUACCUGGUUCAUCUGUCGUCGGGGCAGAAAUGUCGAGCGUCAAGGCGGAACCCCGCGCCAAACUGCAAGACUCGCACAAAGUCGUCAACUUUGAGGAUCGACUCAAGAGCAUCAUCACGUCGGUGUUGCAAGGUCCACCCAAAACAAUCUCCGCUAGCCAGCAGCAGCCACCGCCAACUCAGCAGGUUCAAAUGGUGCAACAGCAGCAGCAACAGCAUCCGCAGAUGAUGCUGGCGCACGGAACGGAACACAUAUCGCCCGGGAAAGGAUCCUCCUCGUACGGUAAAACGGUGUACCUCCAAUCUGGUCCACCGACGAGUUCGAUGCACAGCGGCGGCACCAUCCACGACAUGUCCUCGCGAAGUAGUGGCCAACAUCAGCUACCUCACCCGUCUUCGUCGCAGCCGCCGCAUCAUCUGAACGCCUCGACCACAAUCGCCACCGCUCCCGUAUCGCCGUACAAGGUGGUGCAACCGCACGGCGGUAGCCAAAGUACGAAAAUCUCACCGAGUUCCAAGUACUACCAGAAGGGAAUGUCUGCAAGCUUGAACCACCACUCGCCUGGGGCGGGUGCCGCGAACAACAACACCAGCACUCAUCAGCAGAUCCUGCAGCAACAGGAGCGCGAGGCACGCGAGCGUGAAAUGCGCCAGAAUCCGGUCGUCAUGCAGCAGCACUACGGUGGCCAACCUCAUCCGGCGAUAGAUCCACAUCACCUGCUGCACCGUGGCGGCGUCACCAUGGACGGCAAGCUGGAGUUCAAAGCACCGGAGCAAUCGUACCGGUACGAUCCUCGCAAUCCCGUUGAAGCGCCGAUUUACCAGAGCCACUCGCGAAGUUCUUCGGUCACCUCGUUGGACGGAGACUACCCACCUGGUCCGGGUGGAAACGUGCGCUACAUUGGCGUCCCAACAGCCCAGCAGCAACAGCAGCAGCAACAACGCGAUCGCGAUCAGCGAGAUCAGCAACUCGGCGGAAACAACUCCCGCCCCGGAUCGUCCUCAUCGCAGCCCGAUUAUACGCAGGUGUCGCCGGCAAAGAUGGCUCUCAGAAGGCAUCUUUCGCAGGAAAAGCUGACCCAUCCGGGGAUGCCGGCGAGCGGCGGAGGCGGUUCCACAGUCAAAACCAUCGGCGAUCUGGUAAACGGGGAGAUCGAGCGCACGCUGGAAAUCUCCAACCAGUCCAUCAUCAACGCGGCGGUCAACAUGAGCACGACGGCAAGCCAGGCGGCGGCUGCGAUUCAUACCGUCAUCAAUACGAAUGUGCAGCGACCCGAGCGGGUCAGCAUCCGGGUGCUGGAGGAGCUCGGAUUGAAUGGCGGUGUUCAGACCACGUUCAGUCCGGUUUCGCGCCCCAACAGCAACGAAACGAGCAAAUCUCCGGUGCAUCUGCACGGCCAAAGCAACCUGGCCACGCUGGCCCAAGUUGCCACCUACAACAACAAGAAACCACCGGCGCCAGCGGCGUCCUCCUCGCAGCAGCAGUACAGCACGUACCAAACCGGCCGAGGACCCCAGGAUAAACCUCCGUCGACGAGCUACCCGGCGCCCGGCGAACGUGUCGAAGCACCGCCGUACAUGGCUCUUCCGCGGGCCGACAUGAAACCGUACCUGGAAUCGUACUUUAUCGAUGAACACAAACGGCAGCAGCAUCAGCAACAGCAGACGCAGCAACAGUUGCACCGCCAAGGGUCGCCAGCUAUGGCGGCCCAGGCCCAUCAUCAUCCAACGGCUGCACACCAUCCACCGCCACAGGCCAGUGCUCGCGGCAACGAUCACCAUCAUCGGAGCCAUCCGGCGCCGGUUGAUCGCCGUGAAGCGCCGAUGGCGCCGCACCUGAUGGACGAUCGGAUGGACCGACUGAACGGAAGCCCGCCGCUGGAAGGUCUGGCCGCAAGUCUUCAAGCGCGCGUAAUUGCCCAGCUCAAGAGCAAGGAGGAAGACGAAGAGCGACACCGUCGGGCCGACCUGAUGGCGAUGCACAACUCCGGCCCCGUCGGAAGCAAUAGCAUACAACUAGUACAAACACCUCACCUGAAAGUCGAUAAAUACCCAUCUGGGCUGAAGCGCACCUCGCCCAUUAUCGAGAACCCGCCGCGACCUCCCAAGAUGCUGUACACCGACUGCUCGGACGUAAUGAUCACGCCGGAGCUGUUGCACGCCGCCAGCCGAGGAGUUUCGGGCCCGUCGCGCAACAUGGCACUGAUGAGCCCGGAGAUAAACUCACUGACGACGGUCGGCGAUGAUCGGCACCAUCUGCUGCGCCACGGCAGGAACGACGUCGACGUACCGUGCACCACCGUAAUCGAUGUAAUCGUUCCAAUGUCUUCGACAGUAGGGACGCCUUCCGUUGCCAAAGGCGGUAACUUGUUGCUGAGCAAGCACCAUCCCCAACAGCAGCAGCAACACCAUCAACCGCAACAGCAACAGCAACACCAACCAACCUCAUCGGUCAAGGUGAUCAACCUGCCGUACGGCGGGGGUUCCAUGAGCAGUGCUACAACUGGCUGUUCAAACCCGACGACUACGACGUCGUCCGCCAGCAGUCGUAACUAUGGCCAACACCAGCAGUAUCGCAUCCAGAAACCGAUGGCCGCCGCCGCCGCCGCCGGGAAUCAUCGCCCUCCGCCGCAGCAUCACCACCGUUCCCAUGGUGGAGGCGGCAGCGGAAGUGGUUCCGCAAACAAGUACCACAACCACCCCAACAAUUCGUACCCCUCCAAAUGACAAUGGCAGCAAGAUGUGAUGAUCACUGGUGGCCGUAACCACCAACCACUUCAACCUCUGACUGCACUCCCAUAAAGCCACUACCAAACACCUCUUGUACUAGGGUCGACUUUCUCCAAAUCAGACUUGCGUUCUUCCGCGUGUAGAACCGUAGAACAACAACGGCAACAACUGAUGACGUUGGGGACGAUGAAUCGAGCUGGCACGACCGCGUCAGUUCCGGGUUCGAUCGGUUGGUGGCGUUUGCGUCGACGGAGCUGGACAAAACGCGUCGAUCGAACGAGGACGCGCCGCCCUCGUCCACCAG